GUCUAGAAGCUUCUACAAUGCGCGAAAGCGUGAUAGAGCGACGCCGCGUGCGGGAUUGAAGGCCGUGAGGUCGUAAACCGCUGUCAGCAGGAAAGAAUGCCUGGAUGGCGAAUCCGGGAGAGACGGUACCUGCAAAGGAAGUCCUGGCUAACUCCGUGCCAGCAGCCGCGGUAAUACGGAGAGGGCAAACGUUGUUCGGAAUUACUGGGCGUAAAGAGUACGUAGGCGGCUUGGUCAGUCUGAUGUGAAAUCCCCUCGCUCAACGAGGGAACUGCAUUGGAUACUGCCGAGCUUGAGGAUGGGAGAGGCAGGUGGAAUUCCUGGUGUAGCGGUGGAAUGCGUAGAUAUCAGGAAGAACACUCGUGGCGAAGGCGGCCUGCUGGCCCAUUUCUGACGCUGAGGUACGAAAGCCAGGGGAGCGAACGGGAUUAGAAACCCUGGUAGUCC
rnacentral:rRNA from 1 species